GACGAACGCUGGCGGCAGGCCUAACACAUGCAAGUCGAGCGGAGCGGCGGACGGGUGAGUAAUGCCUAGGGAUCUGCCUGGUAGUGGGGGAAAACGUCCGGAAACGGGCGCUAAUACCGCAUAAUAUCAGAUGAGCCUAGGUCGGAUUAGCUAGUUGGUGGGGUAAAUGCCUACCAAGGUGACGAUCCGUAACUGGUCUGAGAGGAUGAUCAGUCAGACUGGAACUGGGACACGGUCCAGAGUCCUACGGGAGGCAGCAGUAAGGAAUAUUGGACAAUGGGCGCAAGCCUGACCCAGCAACGCCGCGUGAAGGAAGACGGUCUUCGGAUUGUAAACUUCUUUAGACAGGGGCGCGGUACCUGUAGAGUAAGCCACGGCUAACUACGUGCCAGCAGCCGCGGUAAUAC
rnacentral:rRNA from 1 species